rnacentral:rRNA from 1 species
GAAACUCGGGCUAAUACCGGAUGUGCUCUGCCGGCAUAUGCCGGCUCGAGCAAAGGAAGCUUCGGCCUCCGCAUCGGGAGGGGCCCGCGGCCCAUUAGCUAGUUGGUGAGGUAACGGCUUACCAAGGCCGCGAUGGGUAGCUGGUCUGAGAGGACGAUCAGCCACACUGGGACUGAGACACGGCCCAGACUCCUACGGGAGGCAGCAGUGGGGAAUCUUGCGCAAUGCGCGAAAGCGUGACGCAGCAACGCCGCGUGGGGGAAGAAGGCCUUCGGGUUGUAAACCCCUUUCAGGAGGGGCGAAGGUGCGGCGGCGAAUAGCUUGCCGUACUGACGGUACCUCCACAAGAAGCCCCGGCUAACUACGUGCC